rnacentral:ncRNA from 1 species
UAAAUUCUGCCACCGGGUAGAAAUCAGAGCAGUGUAUGUAUCGUUAGGUCAUUGAAGAUACAUACAGAUGUUCAUAUUUUUUG